GCGCGAGGGCUGGGCUGGCGGAGCGAGGCGGCAGGGCGGGGCCGCAGGGCGGGAGCUGUCCGCAGCCAAGAUGCUGGCGAAGGCCGGGCUGGAUCCUGGGCAGCGGCUCCCGGCCGGCCAGAGAGCGGAGCUGUCCCUCUGCGGGAGUGACACGGGUCAUGGCCUGCGGAGCCUGCGCCUGGACGUGCCUCUCCGCAGCCAGAAACCAUGCGGAUAAAAAUAACGUCAGUCGGGGCCGGGAGGCUGACCGAUGCCAGCCAAGUGGUGGUCAGCUGUUGCCUGGCGUGGAUCGUGGCCAGGUCUUGCUUCUGCCAUUCCCCGCCCACUGUGGUUUCUCGGAGAUUCAGAUACUAAUAUAAAACUGACCCGUGUCUAGUGGGUUUAAGAUUACUUUUUAAGAAAUGCGUUAUCAAGUGUUUCCUGGUCUUCGUUGUGAGCCUAGAAUAGUUUAAAGGCUUCCCUUCAGAUAUCAAGCUGUAACUUAAGCACGCACAUAAGUGUGUGUGCGGGUGAAGUGUGUGAACACAUGCUCGUGCAAGUAGUUGCUAAAGUGACUUAUUAUAAUAAAAAGCUAUUUUU
rnacentral:lncRNA from 1 species